CACGUAGUUAGCCGUGGCUUAUUCCUCGAGUACCGUCAGAACUUCUUCCUCGAGAAAGAGGUUACAACCAAGGCCUUAAUCCCUCACGCGGUGUCGCUGGGUCAGGCUUUCGCCCAUUGCCCAAUAUUCCUUG
rnacentral:rRNA from 1 species